rnacentral:rRNA from 2 species
CCCUGAGAGAUGAUCAGGUAGAUAGGUUGGAAGUGGAAGGCUAGUGAUAGUUGGAGCGGACCAAUACUAAUCGGUCGAGGACUUAACCAA